GUGCCAGCCGCCGCGGUAAGACAGAGGGUGCAAACGUUGUUCGGAUUUACUGGGCGUAAAGCGCGUGUAGGCGGCUUCGCAAGUUGGAUGUGAAAUCCCACGGCUCAACCGUGGACGUGCAUCCAAAACUGCGUCGCUCGAGUCUCGGAGAGGAAGGUGGAAUGCUUGGUGUAGAGGUGAAAUUCGUAGAUAUCAAGCAGAACACCUGCGGCGAAGGCGGCCUUCUGGACGAUGACUGACGCUGAGACGCGAAAGCGUGGGGAGCAAACAGGAUUAGAUACCCCCGUAGUCC
rnacentral:rRNA from 1 species